AUUGAACGCUGGCGGCAUGCUUUACACAUGCAAGUCGAACGGCAGCGCGGGCUUCGGCCUGGCGGCGAGUGGCGAACGGGUGAGUAAUGCAUCGGAACGUGCCCAGUAGUGGGGGAUAGCCCGGCGAAAGCCGGAUUAAUACCGCAUACGACCUGAGGGUGAAAGCGGGGGACCGAAAGGCCUCGCGCUAUUGGAGCGGCCGAUGUCGGAUUAGCUAGUUGGUGGGGUAAAGGCUUACCAAGGCGACGAUCCGUAGCUGGUCUGAGAGGACGACCAGCCACACUGGGACUGAGACACGGCCCAGACUCCUACGGGAGGCAGCAGUGGGGAAUUUUGGACAAUGGGGGCAACCCUGAUCCAGCCAUGCCGCGUGCGGGAAGAAGGCCUUCGGGUUGUAUACCGCUUUUGUUCGGGAAGAAAUCCUCUGGGCUAAUACCCCGGGGGGAUGACGGUACCGGAAGAAUAAGCACCGGCUAACUACGUG
rnacentral:rRNA from 1 species